rnacentral:rRNA from 1 species
CCCUAUGGGGUGCAGCAGGCGCGAAACCUUUACAAUGCACGAAAGUGCGAUAAGGGGACCCUAAGUGCUUUGCUUUUGCAAGGCUUUUUUCAAGAGUAAAUAUCUUGAAGAAUAAGUGGUGGGCAAUACCUGUGCCAGCCGCCGCGGUAAUCCAGGAGCCACAAGUGGCAACCGUUUUUAUUGGGCCUAAAGCGUCCGUAGCAGGUUUAGUAAAUUUUCUGUGAAAUCAUUAGGCUUAACUUAAUGGCGAGUAGAAGAGACUGCUAGACUAGGGACUGAGAGGAGUCAGAGGUAUUUCAGGGGGAGCGGUAAAAUGCUAUAAUCUCUGAAAGACCACCUGUGGCGAAGGCGUCUGACUAGAACGGAUCCGACUGUGAGGGAUGAAAGCUAGGGGAGCAAUCCGGAUUAGAUACCCGAGUAGUCCUAGCUGUAAACGCUGCGAGCUAGGUGUUGUAUAAUCUUUGUGAUUAUGCAGUGUCGAAGCGAAGGUGUUAAGCUCGCCGCCUGGGAAGUAUGGCCGCAAGACUGAAACUUAAAGGAAUUGGCGGGGGAGCACUACAAGGGGUGCGGCGUGCGGUUUAAUCUAAUUCAACGCAGAGAAACUCACCAGGAGCGACAGCAGGAUGAAGUCAGUUAAAGGUCUUACCUACAGCCGAGAGGAGUGCAUGGCCAAGGCGAAUUCAGC